rnacentral:pre_miRNA from 1 species
UCUUAUGGAUAAGCAAAGACAGUGGUUUCCUGAGAAGAAAUCUCCUUCUGGUGAAGAUGCUGUGAA